rnacentral:rRNA from 1 species
UACGUAGGGGGCGAGCGUUGUCCGGAUUUAUUGGGCGUAAAGAGCGUGUAGGCGGCCAGGUAGGUCUGCUGUGAAAACUCGAGGCUCAACCUCGAGAUGUCGGCGGAAACCAUCUGGCUAGAGUCCGGAAGAGGAGAGUGGAAUUCCCGGUGUAGAGGUGAAAUUCGUAGAUAUCGGGAGGAACACCAGUGGCGAAGGCGGCGAUCUGGGUCGAUACUGACGCUGAGGUGCGAAAGCGUGGGGAGCAAACAGG